GACGAACGCUGGCGGCGUGCUUAACACAUGCAAGUCGAACGGAAAGGCUCCAGCUUGCUGGAGUACUCGAGUGGCGAACGGGUGAGUAACACGUGGGUAAUCUGCCCUGCACUCUGGGAUAAGCCUGGGUAACUGGGUCUAAUACUGGAUAUGACCUUUCUCCUUAUUGGGUUUGGUGGAAAUUUUUUCGGUGUAGGAUGAGCCCGCGGCCUUUCAGCUUGUUGGUGGGGUGAUGGCCUACCAAGGCGACGACGGGUAGCCGGCCUGAGAGGGUGAUCGGCCACAUUGGGACUGAGAUACGGCCCAGACUCCUACGGGAGGCAGCAGUGGGGAAUAUUGCACAAUGGGCGGAAGCCUGAUGCAGCGACGCCGCGUGAGGGAUGACGGCCUUCGGGUUGUAAACCUCUUUCAGCAGGGACGAAGCGUAAGUGACGGUACCUGCAGAAGAAGCACCGGCUAACUACGUG
rnacentral:rRNA from 1 species